UACGUAGGGGGGCAAGCGUUUGUCCGGAAUCAUUGGGCGUAAAGAGCGUGUAGGCGGUCCGGUAAGUCAGCUGUGAAAGUCAAGGGCUCAACCCUUGAAUGCCGGUUGAUACUGUCGGGCUAGAGUCCGGAAGAGGCGAGUGGAAUUCCCGGUGUAGCGGUGAAAUGCGCAGAUAUCAGGAGGAACACCUAUUGCGAAGGCAGCUCGCUGGGACGUAACUGACGCUGAGACGCGAAAGCGUGGGGAGCAAACAGG
rnacentral:rRNA from 1 species